rnacentral:rRNA from 1 species
GUCUACGGCCACGCUACCCUGAACAAGCCCAAUCCCGCCUGAUCUCGGAAGCUAAGCAGAGCCGGGCCUGGUUAGUACUUGGAUGGGAGACCACCUAGGAAGACCAGGUGCUGUGGACG